UGCUCACCUCUCUUUCUGUCAGU
rnacentral:miRNA from 3 species